AGAUUGAACGCUGGCGGCAGGCCUAACACAUGCAAGUCGAGCGGUAGAGAGGUGCUUGCACCUCUUGAGAGCGGCGGACGGGUGAGUAAAGCCUAGGAAUCUGCCUGGUAGUGGGGGAUAACGCUCGGAAACGGACGCUAAUACCGCAUACGUCCUACGGGAGAAAGCAGGGGACCUUCGGGCCUUGCGCUAUCAGAUGAGCCUAGGUCGGAUUAGCUAGUUGGUGAGGUAAUGGCUCACCGAAGGCGACGAUCCGUAACUGGUCUGAGAGGAUGAUCAGUCACACUGGAACUGAGACACGGUCCAGACUCCGUACGGGAGCAGCAGGUGGGAAUAGUUGGACUAAGUGGGACGUAAAGCCUGAACUUCC
rnacentral:rRNA from 1 species